UUUCCGUAGGUGAACCUGCGGAAGGAUCAUUGUCGAAACCUGCCCAGCAGAACGCCCCGCGAACUUGUAUACACAACUGGGGGCGGGGGGGCGUUCUCGCCCCGUGCCCCCGAACGGCGGGGAGACACUCGUGCCUUCUUGCCGAACAACGAACCCCGGCGCGGUCUGCGCCAAGGAACUUCAACUAAAGAGAGCCUCCAGUCGCCUCGGAAACGGCGUGCGUGCCGGAGGCGAAUUUUGUGCAAAACCAUAACGACUCUCGGCAACGGAUAUCUCGGCUCUC
rnacentral:misc_RNA from 1 species